rnacentral:rRNA from 1 species
GACGAACGCUGGCGGCGUGCCUAAUACAUGCAAGUAGAACGCUGAAGGAGGAGCUUGCUCUUCUGGAUGAGUUGCGAACGGGUGAGUAACGCGUAGGUAACCUGCCUGGUAGCGGGGGAUAACUAUUGGAAACGAUAGCUAAUACAGCAUAACAGUAGAUGUUGCAUGACAUUUACUUAAAAGGUGCAAUUGCAUCACUACCAGAUGGACCUCCGUUGUAUUAGCUAGUUGGUGGGGUAACGGCUCACCAAGCGAAGAAUCAUUAGCGAACCGGAGGGGGGGUCGGCCCACCUUGGACCGGGACCAGGGCCCAGCUCCUUCGGGAGGGAGCAAUAGGGAAUCUUCGGCAAAUGGGGGAAAGCUUACCGAGGAACGCCGGGGUAGUGAAGAAGGGUUUCGGAUCCUAAAGCUCCGUUGUAAGGGAAGAACCAGUUUUAUAGUUGAAUGUUCACAUUGUGACGGUACCUUACCAGAAAGCCACGGCUAACUACGUG